UAGAGAGUGUUUUUAUUGUCAUAAACGAGGGCAUGUGAUUGCUGAUGGCAUUACACUAAAAAACAAACAAACGCCAAGUCAACCAAAGCCGGUAGGUUUUGUGGAAAAUGUGAGCGAACGUUUGAGUUAUGCAUCGUUUUGUGAAGAGAUCGAUGUGAAUUUUACCCCAUUUGUAAUGAAAGGGUUUAUCUCUUUAAAUGGUGAUCAUAACCAACAACAACAGGUACACAUUUUGCGUGACACAGGAGCUGCUUUGUCCUUUGUUCCCUGUGAUGUUCUGACGUUGUCUGAACAGACAUUUUGUGGAUCUCACAUAUUGAUUCAGGGUAUUGGAAUGAGUACUGUGAAAGUCCCACUGCAUCGUGUACACUUACAGUGUAAGUUAAUCACAGGUUUUGUGAAUGUAGGAGUUCGUUCUUCACUGCCAGUGAAAGAUGUUACCUUCAUUCUGGGAAAUGAUCUUGCUGGAGGUAAGGUGUUUCCGUUGCCAGAGGUCCUUGAUCAGCCAGAUUGUUUUAUCCCUGUUGAUGAUGUAGCGUAUGAAUAUCCUGAUGUGUUCCCUGCAAGUGUGGUUACCAGAGCGCAAAAAUGCAGAAUAGGGACAGACAUUGUGUUGUCAGAUUCAUUCAUGUCAUCUGUCUUUGGGGAAGGCAAAUAUCAAUCAGAAUUUUCCAUUAAGACUACCUGUGGUGACUAUUUGAAACAAUCUAAAAAGAAACUGACUGAUGCAGAGGUGCUGAAUUUACUUAUGUCACGUGAUGAGGUUAUUCUCUUGCAAAAUGCUGAUCCAUCGUUGCAAAAGUAUUUUUUUGCUGUGGAAAGUCCAGAAACCGUGAAAAACGAGAAAGUGAGGUACGUGGUAGAUCAAGACCUGCUUUUGCGUGAGUGGCAAGAAGAUCUCAGCAAGGAGACUGAAUGGAAUGUGUUCAGGCAGGUGGUGGUACCGUUAGUUUAUAGACAGCAAGUUUUAAUGUUAGCCCAUGAUCACCCAUUGUCAGGUCAUAUGGGGAUCCCUAAAACUUAUAAUCGUAUUCUUAAAUAUUUCUUCUGGCCAGGGUUGAAGAAAGACGUCUCCGAGUACUGUCGUACUUGUGAUGUUUGCCAGAUUGCUGGAAACCUAAUCAGCAGAUUCCGCCGGCCCCAUUAAUACCAGUACCUGGUCAGGGUGUCCGCAGGGUCUUAAAA
ensembl:lncRNA